UAGCCUAGUGGCUAAGGCUAUGGAUCGCCAAUCCGGAGAUGACGGGUUCGAAUCCCGU
rnacentral:tRNA from 1 species